rnacentral:rRNA from 1 species
CACGUAGGGCGCAAGCGUUGUCCGGAAUUAUUGGGCGUAAAGAGCUCGUAGGCGGCCUGUUGCGUCCGCUGUGAAAUCCCGGGGCUCAACCCCGGGCCUGCAGUGGAUACGGGCUGGCUGGAGGCAGGCAGGGGAGAACGGAAUUCCUGGUGUAGCGGUGAAAUGCGCAGAUAUCAGGAGGAACACCGGUGGCGAAGGCGGUUCUCUGGGCCUGUUCUGACGCUGAGGAGCGAAAGCGUGGGGAGCGAACAGG